rnacentral:lncRNA from 1 species
UGAGGUGGGAGGACUGAUUGAGGCUAGGAGUUUGAGACCUGUUAUUUGAGGCACAUGGGAAGGAAAGUUUUCUUUGAGAUAUUCCACAUUUUAUAAUAUUCUUCAAGAGAUUUACAGAGUUCCUUGAGUGAAUUGUUGGUUUGUUCUUAAUACUGAAUUUCCUAUUCAAAUUUAUUUAGAAGUUCAUUUCUUACAGUGAUCUCAUCUCCUAUUAAGAUAUUCUUCAAGAUCUGGAGGCCAUCCUUUAAGCUUCUUGCAACAGUCUGGGAGCAAAGAGUUUACUCGCCACUGGGUAGUGGGC